rnacentral:rRNA from 1 species
UACGUAGGGGGCAAGCGUUAUCCGGAUUUACUGGGUGUAAAGGGAGCGUAGGCGGCUUAGUAAGUCAGAAGUGAAAGCCCGCAGCUCAACUGCGGGACUGCUUUGGAAACUGCCAUGCUAGAGUGCUGGAGAGGUAAGUGGAAUUCCUAGUGUAGCGGUGAAAUGCGUAGAUAUUAGGAGGAACACCAGUGGCGAAGGCGAUUUGCUGGACUGUAACUGACACUGAGGCACGAAAGCGUGGGGAGCAAAUAGG